rnacentral:rRNA from 1 species
UAAUUUGACUCAACGCGGGAAAUCUUACCAGGUCCAGACAUAUGGAGGAUUGACAGACAGUUAACCAAAACGCAGCAGCUAGUUUAACAAAACUAACAGCUCUUUCAAGAUUAUGUGGUAGGUGGUGCAUGGCCGUUCUUAGUUCGUGAAGUGAUUCGUUCGCCCAAUCGCAUUUCCAAACAACUAACAACUCAGAAUGCUGGGCAAUAGGACGUUUAAAGUGGCUCCUUACACCUUACAAAGGAAUGGCUGAUGAGAAACAACUCGAUCCGCUCAGCGUUCUAUUGGAAUGCAACGGACGUGAUUGCAAGCUUUUGUUUUGAGUUGCGGUUUUACUGAAAGACUCUACAAUCCGCAAACUUCAAUGAUCUGAAGUAGAAAACCUACAUGCUACAGUGAGAUAUUGUGGAUAAACUUAAGCGACCGCUCCAACAUUGUGUUUUUUUAAAACUGAUGAAGGUUGCGGCAAUAACAGGUCUGUGAUGC